UGGGGAAUAUUGCACAAUGGGGGAAACCCUGAUGCAGCGACGCCGCGUGGGUGAAGAAGUACUUCGGUAUGUAAAGCCCUAUCAGCAGGGAAGAAAGAGCGGAGGAAUCCGCUUGAGACAGUACCUGAAUAAGCAGCCCCGGCUAACUACGUGCC
rnacentral:rRNA from 1 species